GCGCAGCAGGGCCUGAAUGAGCGAUACCGGGUAGGUUCGCUGCUGGGAGAGCAGGCGUGGGGUAAGUGCUGCAUCCCUGAUGCAGAGCAUCCCGGGCUGGCUGAGGGGUCCCAGAGCCCUGGCACGGCCUCAGUCUCACUGAGAUCGUUCCCCUGGAGAUCGUGCUGCUGGCCAAGAUAUCCUGUGGGUGUGCUGGGGUCAUUCAGCUCCUGGAGUGGGUUGGGUUGAGCUGCCCAACAGCUUCUUGUUGGUGCUGGAGCGUCCGGAGCAGUGCCAGGACCUCUCGCAUUUGCAGGCAGAACAGAGAUUCCUGCUGGAGCAGGAGGUGCAGGAGCUGUUCCGCCAGGUGCUGGAGGCUGUGCACUGCACCAGCUGCGGGGUCCUGCUCAGGGAUAUCAAAGCAGAGAACAUCCUGCUGGACCUGGCCAUUUGGGAGCUGAAACUGAUCGACUUUGGCUGUGGCACCUUCCUCCAAGACAGCCUACACCCAGUUUGCAGAUGAUGCCAAGAUGUUAUUAAGAGGUUUGUCCAUACAACCCUUGGACCCUUGGACAGGAUGUCCUUAGAAGACCUUUUCUGUGAUCCUUGGCUGCAGAGUGUUCAUCUGCCUUAGAAGAUGGGAGAUAUCCAUGGGCACAGUUGGAUCCAGGGGCCCGGCAUAUAACAGCUGCACACAUCUCUUGGCAAUCAGUGGCAAAGCAAACCAGUCUGGUUUUGUCAUGCUACUGUAGCUCUGAGCAGGGAUCAUCAGAAGGGAAAACACAACUCUUGGGCUGGAGCUGAGCUGGAGACCUGGUGUGGCAAGCACUGGUGGCCACCAUCAACCCUGGGUUUGCUUGUCUGGUUCAUUGAUGCUGGAGCCCUGGGAAGAACACUGACAGCCUGGUCUGGCCCCCAGGUAAGGAGAAGGAGCCCCUGGAGAAGCUGUUCCAGGUGGGGCUGCUGCCAGAGACACCAAGGACACCCACAAUGACAAGAAUCUCUUCAUCGACCUGGCCAGCUGAAGGUGAUGGACUUGGAUUCUGGCACCUUCUGCACAGAUCCACACCCAAUUUGCGGAAAGCAUGCCAUAAAAAGGGGUGUCCUUUGCUCCUGGUUCCCAUGUGGAGCAGCUCCUUCCCGCUGGCUGAGCUGCUCAGGCAGAGCCCGGCAGCUCCUGGCCCUGCAGGGCUGAGGCUUUUCCCCAUUGCUGGGCACAAACUGAUGGAGCAGCACUGCUGAGCACGGGGACACACAGAGGGACCAGGAGCAGCUGCCUUUGUCCACCUGGAGCUCCAAGGCCCAAACUCUGAGCAGACAUAGCUGGCAGACUCA